GUCCUUUUUCGGUUAUCAUGGUACCGAUGCUGUAUAUCUGAAAGGUACAGUACUGUGAUAACUGAAGAAUGGUG
rnacentral:pre_miRNA from 1 species